rnacentral:rRNA from 1 species
AACGAACGCUGGCGGCAUGCCUAACACAUGCAAGUCGAACGAGAGCUUCGGUUCUAGUGGCGCACGGGGGCGGAAGGCCGGGUAACCUACCCUUAGGUUCGUGACAACUCCCCGAGGGGGGUGCGAAUACCGGCGAAUUUCUUCCGACCAAAGAUUUAUGGCGUUUGGAGGGGCCCGCGUUGGAUUAGCCGGUUGGGAUGGUAAAAGGCUAACAAGGCGAGGGUCCGUAGCUGGUCUGAGAGGCAGAUCCGCCACACGGGGACUGAGACACGGCCCGGACUCCUGCGCGAGGGAGGAGUGGGGAAUAUUGGACAACGGGCGGAAGCCUGAUGCAGCUAUGGCGGGUGAGUGAUGAAGUCCGUAGGGUUGUAAAGCUCUUUUACACGGGAUGAUGAUGACAGUACCGGGAGAAUAAGCACCGGCUAACUACGUG